rnacentral:rRNA from 1 species
AGCGUAGACGGCAAGGCAAGUCUGAUGUGAAAAACCCAGGGCUUAACCCUGGGACUGCAUUGGAAACUGUCUGGCUCGAGUGCCGGAGAGGUAAGCGGAAUUCCUAGUGUAGCGGUGAAAUGCGUAGAUAUUAGGAAGAACACCAGUGGCGAAGGCGGCUUACUGGACGGUAACUGACGUUGAGGCUCGAAAGCGUGGGGAGCAAACA